AUUGCAAAACGUUCUAUCGCUGCCCUUCACCGGGCGGAGGAAAGUCCGGGCAACACAGAGCAUCCUGCUUCCUAACGGGAAGGCGCCCACAGCGGGCGACAGCAAGUGCCACAGAGAAUAUACCGCCCUUCGCGGGGUAAGGGUGAAAACGUGAGGUAAGAGCUCACGGCUUUGCCGGGCGACCGGUAUCGCGGUAAACCUCAGGAGUUGAAAAACCAAAUAGGUCCUGGAAGCGGAGCUGCUCGCUCCCUUAGCGAAAGCUACGCCAGGAUGGGUAGGUUGCUUGAACCUGCCGGCAACGGCAGGGCCAGAUAAAUGAUAGAAGCCCUUUUUAUAAGGGAACAGAACCCGGCUUAUAAUUUUGCUGCUGAA
rnacentral:RNase_P_RNA from 1 species